CAGCUCUGGCUUGGAGCUAGGCACCUGCUAGGCCUCUGUGAUGGUUCAUUGUGUGUGUCAGUUUGGCCCGGCUGUCGUGCCCAGCUGGUUGGUGAAACACCAGUCUAGAUGCCAUGGUGAAGGUCUUUGUAGAUGCAAUUAACAUCUACAAUCAGUUGACCUUAAGUCAAGUAGAUCAUGCUCCAUAGUGUGGCUGGGGGUGGGGUGGGGGCAGAGCCAAUCAGUUCAAGGCCUUGAGAGCUAAAGCUAAGGUUUCCUGGAGAGGAAGGAAUUCUGCCUCCAGACUGUCACUGAAAUCCUGAGUUGCCAGCCUGCCGUACAAAUUUUGGACUUGCUAUCCCCUACAAUCCCGUGAGCCAAUUCCUUAAAAUAAAUCUCUUUACACACACGCACACACACACCCCCCCCACACACAUACACACACACACACAUCCCACACACACGUGCACACACACACACAUCCUGUUGGUUUUGUUUCUCUGGAGACCUCCCAGCUGAUAAAGCCUCCAUCAGUAAAUAUAAUUUAAACCUAAUUAUUGGCCAGGAGUGGUGGCUCAUGCUUAUAAUCCCAAUGCUUUGAGAGACCAAGAUGGGAGGAUCACUUGAGCCCAGGAGUUCAAGACCAGCCCUGGUGACAUAGUGAAGCCCCAUCUCUACAAAAAGUUUUAAAACUAGCCAGGUGUGGUGGUGCACAUCUGUGGUCCUGGCUACGUGGUGGCUGAGGAGGGAGGAUCACUUGAGCCCAGGAGGUGAAGGCUGCAGUGAGCCGUGAUCGUGCAACUGCACUCCAGCCUGAGCAAGAUAAUGAGACCCUGUUUCUACAAAAAGUAAAAAAAACAAACAAAAAAAAUAGCCAGGUAUGGUGGUGUGCACCAGUGAUCCCAGCUACUCUGGAGUCUGAGGUGGGAGGAUUGCUUGAGCCAGAAGUUCGUGGUUGCAGUUAGCUAUGAUUGCACCACUGCACUCUAGCCUGAGCAACAGAGCAAGACCUUGUUUCUUAAACAAAACAAAACACACAACAGAAAACUUAUUCUUAAGACCAGACCUGGCAAGAGGAUCUCUCAUAAGAGAGGAGAUUUUACCUUUUGACCCAAAAGUCCAGGUCUCCUCAUCGUCAAAGUGAGUGUCCCCGGAGAUGGGGUGCUCCCCAGGGAAGAAGGCAUGGGCUAGGGUGCCCCCCAACCCGUCGAAGGGGUAGCUGUCCUGGUGGAAGGCGCGGGCAAAGUCGAUGAGGAUGUCGGGCUCCUGGCCCUGGG
rnacentral:lncRNA from 1 species